rnacentral:rRNA from 1 species
CAAUAGCGUAUAUUAAAGUUGUUGCAGUUAGAACGCUCGUAGUCGGAUUUCGGGGCGGGGCGACCGGUCUGCCGAUGGGUAUGCACUGGUCGGCGCGUCCUUCCUUCCGGAGACCGUUCCUACUCUUAACUGAGCGGGGGCGGGAGACGGAUCGUUUACUUUGAAAAAAUCAGAGUGUUUCAAGCAGGCAGCUCGCUCUUGCAUGGAUUAGCAUGGGAUAAUGAAAUAGGACUUUGGUGCUAUUUUGUUGGUUUCGAACACCGAAGUAAUGAUUAAAAGGGACAGUCAGGGGCACUCGUAUUCCGCCGAGAGAGGUGAAAUUCUCAGACCAGCGGAAGACGAACCACUGCGAANGNAUUUGCNAGGGAUGUUUNCACUG